CAAUAGCGUAUAUUAAAGUUGUUGCAGUUAAAAAGCUCGUAGUUGGACCUUGGACCUGGACAGGCGGUCCGCCUCACGGCGAGUACUGUCUUGCUGGGUCUUUCCUCUUGGUGAUCUGUUGUUUCGGCAGCAGGGAACCAGGACCUUUACUUUGAAAAAAUUAGAGUGUUCAAAGCAGGCUCGACGCCGGAAUAUAUUAGCACGGAAUAAUAAAAUAGGACGUGCGGUUCUAUUUUGUUGGUUUUUGGAAUCGCCGUAAUGAUUAAUAGGGACAGUCGGGGGCAUUAGUACUCACAUGCUAGAGGUGAAAUUCUUGGAUUUUGUGAAGACUAACUUCUGCGAAAGCAUUUGCCAAGGAUGUUUUCAUUAA
rnacentral:rRNA from 1 species